GGGGUUGGCUCCUAGAUUUUCUUUUAGGCUUAGGAUGCUUAAUGACCUGCAAAUAAAAAUACAAGAAGACAAUCCAAAAUAUAUUAUAAAAUGCAACUUCACAUAGAAUAUAUGUAUAGGGUAGGGAUCCUGUAUGUAUAUAUACACACAUGUAUAUAAAUUUUAGAUAUCAAAGAAAUAAAGACGCACUUGAGGUCUACACUGAGUCCUAAAUGAUAGAUCAAAGUCGCUCAAUACGACAUGUCCAUCUGAUUGAAGUAGUAUGUUCUCCGGUUUCAAGUCCCUAUAGAUGAUACCUGCAAAAGACAAGAUCUUAUGUAAAGAACGAUACGAUACGUUGACCUCAUGCAUAAAAUUAAAGGAGAUGCAUCAUAUCAUCUGUAUCUCUUUUGACUUUAAAUGAUACCUAAACAAUGGAGAUACUCUAAGCCAAUUACAACCUCAGCUGCAUAGAACCUGCAGACAGUAAGAACAAAUACAAGUACAUUAAGGAGGAAAGAUUUUGAAUCUCUCAACAUAUUUUACCAUUAACAACUUUUUUAAAUAUUUCUUAUCAGGAAAUAGAAAGUUUACUGUUAUAGCUUAGGAAAUUUCCAAAAGCUACCUUGCAGACUCUUCGCUGACUAAUUUCAGCGGUUGUUUGUCAAGCAGAGCAAAUAGCUCCCCUCCGGGGCAAAAGUCUGUUAUCAAGCAGACAUGUGUUGGAGUCUGUGGAUACAAUAACGCGUUAGUAUGGUUGUAACAAUCCAGCCUAAAUGGAAAAAUAAGUAUAUAAAAUAUCAUCUCUAUAAAAGGGCUAAUAGCAUAAAAACGUACUUUUUUUUAUUUGCUUGAAAAGGUCCCUAAACCAAAUUUUGGUAUAAGUUUAAAAUGCAUAUAUUUAUGAAAUCUACAACAAAUGUCGGUCACUGGCACACACUCUGUGCAUAUGUGGAGACUAUGUACAUGUUUUUUUUUGUUGCUGAUGUGGAUGCCAUGUAGGCACAUUUGUUGCGUAGAACACUACCUCAUCAUUUACGUAGAACACGACCGCAUCAUUUAGUAUUGUUUUAUGUACAAGUGAAUACCAUAUUAUAUGAUAAAAAAAAAGUUAUCCAUGUCGGCAUUUUUGCACAUGAAAUGCCACUAUAUCGAAUGUUGACCCAUUUAAGAGGUAACAAGUUAUAAUCAUAUUUUUUUUUACAAGUUCGUGUAUUUUCAACAAGUUUAGGGACUUUAAUAUGCCAAAAUUGGCUUGAGGGAAAUUUCAUGUAAAUGAAAAAAUUAUGUUGGCUUUCUUAUGCAAAAGCACAAAAGUUCAAAUUAUUUGGAAAAUUACUUGGUAAAUUUUUUAUAUGCACUAAGAACCAAAAAUUGCUAAUAUGAUAAGAUACUCCUGUUUGCUUAUUAGAGGGAAAUCUGAGACCUGAAAGGAUGUGUACAGAGUAGGGAGGAAAGGGUGAUCUAGUAGUGCAAUUAUCUCCCUUUCAAUGCAAGCGCGAUGAACCUGCCAUUUACAUGAUAAUUUAUCAACAUAAUUAAU
rnacentral:lncRNA from 1 species